rnacentral:rRNA from 1 species
CGGAGGGGCUAGCGUUGUUCGGAAUUACUGGGCGUAAAGCGCACGUAGGCGGAUUAGUAAGUUGGGGUGAAAUCCCGGGGCGUCAACCUCGGAACUGCCUUCAAAACUACUAGUCUUGAGUUCGAGAGAGGUGAGUGGAAUUCCGAGUGUAGAGGUGAAAUUCGUAGAUAUUCGGAGGAACACCAGUGGCGAAGGCGGCUCACUGGCUCGAUACUGACGCUGAGGUGCGAAAGCGUGGGGAGCAAACAGGAUU